CCUACGGGAGGCAGCAGUGGGGAAUAUUGGACAAUGGGCGAAAGCCUGAUCCAGCCAUGCCGCGUGUGUGAAGAAGGCCUUCGGGUUGUAAAGCACUUUCAGUGGGGAAGAAAGCCUUGGGGCUAAUACCCUCGAGGAAGGACAUCACCCACAGAAGAAGCACCGGCUAACUCCGUGCCAGCAGCCGCGGUAAUACGGAGGGUGCGAGCGUUAAUCGGAAUUACUGGGCGUAAAGCGCGCGUAGGCGGUCUGAUAAGCCGGUUGUGAAAGCCCCGGGCUCAACCUGGGAACGGCAUCCGGAACUGUCAGGCUAGAGUGCAGGAGAGGAAGGUAGAAUUCCCGGUGUAGCGGUGAAAUGCGUAGAGAUCGGGAGGAAUACCAGUGGCGAAGGCGGCCUUCUGGACUGAAACUGACGCUGAGGUGCGAAAGCGUGGGUAGCAAACAGGAUUAGAUACCCCUGUAGUC
rnacentral:rRNA from 1 species